UAUAAUCUAAAUUUUAACUUAAUGGACGGUAUGUUAUUGUUCCUAUAUCUUUAAAUAGU
rnacentral:sRNA from 1 species